rnacentral:rRNA from 1 species
ACAGAGGGUGCGAGCGUUAAUCGGAAUUACUGGGCGUAAAGCGUGCGCAGACGGUUAUUUAAGUCGGGUGUGAAAGCCCCGGGCUCAACCUGGGAAUUGCAUUCGAGACUGAAUAGCUAGGGUACGGUAGAGGGAAGCGGAAUUUCCGGUGUAGCGGUGAAAUGCGUAGAUAUCUGGAGGAAUACCGGUGGCGAAGGCGGCAUCCUGGACCGACAUUGACGCUGAUGAGCGAAAGCUAGGGGAGCAAACGGGA